rnacentral:misc_RNA from 1 species
UGGGUCCAGCAGUGGUGCCGGGUGGAGCUUCGGGGGUCUGAUCAAAACCCUAUCAACGAAAUCCGAAUCCGUCAUUGAAAUCUACCGUCGCGAUCUGAAGGAAUUUGGGUCGGGUCUUAAGAAGGAGAUCGAGGUGGCACAUGGAUCUUUAGAGACCGUGGGGCACGCCAUUGACGAGGUUGGUAGUUCCGUGUUGAAAAAUACGGUCCAGAUCAUUUCACAGGGCAAAGAGGCAAUCCUUGCCGCCG